AAGACUAUACUUUCAGGGAUCAUUUCUAUAGUUUGUUACUCGAGAAGUUUCUCUGAACGUGUAGAGCACCGAAAACCACGAGGAGGAGACGUAGCGUUCUCUCCUGAGCGUGAAGCCGGCAUUUGAUGUUGCUUCAGAAGUCCCCGUAGCUAAUCCUGACCUUAACCUAUAUACCGAUGGAAGUUCAUUUGUGGAGAAUGGGAUAUGAAGGGC
rnacentral:snoRNA from 1 species